rnacentral:rRNA from 1 species
UACGUAGGGGGCGAGCGUUGUCCGGAUUCAUUGGGCGUAAAGCGCGCGUAGGCGGCUCCGCAAGUCGGCCGUGAAAUCUCCGGGCUCAACUCGGAGGGGUCGGGCGAGACUGCGGGGCUCGAGGUGGGCAGAGGGCAGUGGAAUUCCGGGUGUAGUGGUGGAAUGCGUAGAGAUCCGGAGGAACACCAGUGGCGAAGGCGGCUGCCUGGGCCUGGCCUGACGCUGAGGCGCGAAAGCGGUGGGGAGCGAGUCCGG